GACGAACGCUGGCGGCGUGCUUAACACAUGCAAGUCGAACGGAAAGGCCCUGCUUUUGUGGGGUGCUCGAGUGGCGAACGGGUGAGUAACACGUGAGUAACCUGCCCUUGACUUUGGGAUAACUUCAGGAAACUGGGGCUAAUACCGGAUAGGAGCUCCUGCUGCAUGGUGGGGGUUGGAAAGUUUCGGCGGUUGGGGAUGGACUCGCGGCUUAUCAGCUUGUUGGUGGGGUAGUGGCUUACCAAGGCUUUGACAGGUAGCCGGCCUGAGAGGGUGACCGGCCACAUUGGGACUGAGAUACGGCCCAGACUCCUACGGGAGGCAGCAGUGGGGAAUAUUGCACAAUGGGCGGAAGCCUGAUGCAGCAACGCCGCGUGCGGGAUGACGGCCUUCGGGUUGUAAACCGCUUUCGCCUGUGACGAAGCGUGAGUGACGGUAAUGGGUAAAGAAGCACCGGCUAACUACGUG
rnacentral:rRNA from 1 species